rnacentral:rRNA from 1 species
UACGUAGGGUGAAAGCGUUAAUCGGAAUUACUGGGCGUAAAGCGGGCGCAGGCGGUUGUGGAAGGCAGAUGUGAAAUCCCCGGGCUUAACCUGGGAACUGCAUUUGUGACUGCACGGCUAGAGUGUGUCAGAGGGGGGUAGAAUUCCACGUGUAGCAGUGAAAUGCGUAGAUAUGUGGAGGAAUACCGAUGGCGAAGGCAGCCCCCUGGGAUAACACUGACGCUCAUGCACGAAAGCGUGGGGAGCAAACAGG